rnacentral:rRNA from 1 species
AAUAGAUACCCAGGUAGUCCAUGCCGUAAACGUUGGGCGCUAGAUGUGGGGACCAUUCCACGGUUUCCGUGUCGCAGCUAACGCAUUAAGCGCCCCGCCUGGGGAGUACGGCCGCAAGGCUAAAACUCAAAGGAAUUGACGGGGGCCCGCACAAGCGGCGGAGCAUGCGGAUUAAUUCGAUGCAACGCGAAGAACCUUACCAAGGCUUGACAUAUACGAGAACGCUCUAGAAAUAGAGAACUCUUUGGACACUCGUAUACAGGUGGUGCAUGGUUGUCGUCAGCUCGUGUCGUGAGAUGUUGGGUUAAGUCCCGCAACGAGCGCAACCCUCGUUCUAUGUUGCCAGCGGUUCGGCCGGGAACUCAUAGGAGACUGCCGGGGUCAACUCGGAGGAAGGUGGGGAUGACGUCAAAUCAUCAUGCCCCUUAUGUCUUGGGCUUCACGCAUGCUACAAUGGCCGGUACAAGGGCUGCAAUACCGUAAGGUGAGCGAAUCCCAAAAGCCGGUCUCAGUUCGGAUUGAGGU